UGUGUAGUGUGUAUACAGCCCCGUGUCCUGUCCUGCACAGCUGAAAUGUCACACUGCCGUCGCUAGGCCCAGCAGCUGAAGAGAAAGUGUGUGUGUGUGUGUUCAGGACUUUCCGGGGGCAGUUAAGAUAAGCAAGUCUGGCUGAGGAAGCAGCAAGCAGACGUAGUGUUAGAAGACGUCCUCACCUGCAACACACACACAACUGUUUGUGUCUCUAGGUGUUGUUGACCAGAGGUACAGCUACAGGCCUGUCCCUCAGCAGCACUAGUCAUGUCCUCUCUGCUGCGCUGUGUCUCCUGCUGCGGAUCCACUGUCACCUUGCUCCAGCAAGGUGUUCGCCACCACACACCUGGCCGACGGGCCUUCAGGACCUUCCCACAGCUCUGGAACUGUGAGCCUGCUAAAGGACGGCUGUAUAAGGACCUGGUGGUAGGAGUUCCUAAGGAGAUCUUUAAGAAUGAGCGUCGUGUGGCUGUGUCCCCUGCGGGGGUGGAGCUGCUCGUCAAACAGGGCUUCAACGUCCAGGUGGAGUCUGGAGCAGGAGACCACGCUAAGUUCUCUGACCAAAUGUACAUAAACGCUGGGGCCUCCAUCACAGACACUAACGGGGCCUUCGGAUCUGACCUGGUCCUCAAGGUGAGAGCUCCAGUGUUGAACGAGGCUACUGGCAAACAUGAGUCAGAGCUGCUGAAGCCUAAAUCCACCCUGGUGAGCUUCAUCUACCCAGCCCAGAAUCCUGAUCUCAUGGAGAAGCUGGCCCAGAGUCAGACCACCGUGCUGGCCAUGGAUCAGGUCCCGCGAGUCACCAUCGCACAGGGCUACGACGCACUCAGCUCCAUGGCUAACAUUGCAGGGUACAAGGCUGUUGUUCUGGCUGCUAACCACUUUGGCAGAUUCUUCACCGGCCAGAUCACAGCAGCAGGGAAAGUCCCCCCAGCCAAGGUCCUGGUCAUCGGAGGUGGAGUGGCUGGUUUGGCUGCAGCUGGAGCCGCCAAGUCUAUGGGAGCGAUCGUCAGAGGCUUUGAUACCCGACCAGCAGCUCUGGAACAGUUUAAGUCGUUCGGGGCGGAGCCUUUGGAGGUGCACAUUAAGGAGUCCGGGGAUGGUGUUGGAGGUUACGCCAAGGAGAUGUCCCCAGAGUUCAUUGCAGCUGAGAUGGAGUUGUUUGCCAAGCAGUGUAAAGACGUGGACAUCCUCAUCAGUACUGCUCUCAUCCCAGGGAAGCGAGCUCCCAUCCUGAUCAAGACAGAGAUGGUGGAGUCUAUGAAGGAUGGCUCUGUGGUGGUGGACCUGGCUGCUGAGGCUGGAGGAAACAUUGAGACCACCAAGCCUGGAGAGCUGCACGUACACAAGGGUGUGACACACAUCGGCUUCACGGACCUGCCCAGCCGCAUGCCCACCCAGGCCAGCACCCUGUACUCCAACAACGUGCUCAAACUGCUCAAGGCCAUCAGCCCAGACAAAGACUACUUCCACUUUGAGCCCAAAGAAGAGUUUGAUCACGGGACACUGGACCACGUCAUCAGAGGAACCAUGGUCAUGCAGGAAGGCAAGAGCCUGUUCCCAUCCCCCCAACCUAAGACACAACCCCCGGCCGCUCCAGUCAAACAGAGAAGUGUAGCAGAGCUAGCGGCAGAGAAGGCAGCCGUGGUCUCACCUUUCCAGAAGACCUUGACCAACGCUGGUGUCUACACCGCAGGUCUCUCUACAUGUCUGGCGCUGGGCUUGGCGGCGCCCAACUCAGCCUUUACCCAGAUGGUCACUACUUUCGGCCUGGCCGGCAUCGUGGGGUACCACACGGUGUGGGGCGUCACCCCCGCCCUCCACUCACCCCUCAUGUCCGUCACCAAUGCCAUCUCAGGUCUGACUGCUGUGGGUGGUCUGGUCCUGAUGGGGGAGGUCUCCACCCCUCCUCCUUCCCCGAGGGCCUGGCUCUGGCUGCAGCCUUCGUCUCCUCCAUCAACAUCGCAGGUGGGUUCAUGAUCACCCAGAGGAUGCUGGACAUGUUUAAACGUCCUACAGACCCUCCAGAGUACAACUACCUGUACGGUCUACCAAUAGGAGUCUUCAUAGGAGGUUACGGGGCCUCUGUGGCUGCUGGCUACCACAUCGAGCAGAUGAUGUACCUGGGGUCUGGUAUGUGCUGUGUGGGAGCAUUGGCAGGGCUGUCUUCACAGGGCACUAGUCGUCUGGGUAAUGCCCUGGGCAUGAUGGGGGUAGCAGGGGCAUCGCUGCCACCCUGGGCUCCCUGAAGCCCUCUCCUGAGCUGCUGGCACAGAUGAGUGCCGCCAUGGCCACCGGAGGAACCCUGGGUCUGACCAUUGCCAAGCGUAUUGAGAUCACCGAUCUCCCCCAGCUGGUAGCUGCCUUCCACAGCCUGGUGGGUCUGGCUGCAGUGCUGACCUGUGUGGCAGAGUACAUGAUCGAGUACCCUCACUUGGACGUACACCCUGCAGCCAACAUGGUGAAGACUGUGGCCUACCUCGGCACAUACAUCGGAGGGGUCACCUUCAGCGGGUCACUGGUGGCCUAUGGCAAGCUGCAAGGUGUUCUGAACUCCGCCCCGCUGAUGUUGCCGGGGCGUCACAUGAUGAACGCCGGUCUGAUGACUGCGUCUGUCGGUGGUAUGAUUCCCUUCAUGCUCAGUGCUGACUACGCUACUGGCAUGGGCUGUCUGGUUGGAGUGUCUGGCCUCUCCACCGUCAUGGGUGUAACCCUGACGAUGGCCAUCGGGGGCGCUGACAUGCCAGUGGUCAUCACUGUGCUCAAUUCCUACUCUGGUUGGGCGCUGUGUGCCGAGGGAUUCCUAUUGGACAACAACCUCAUGACCAUUGUAGGAGCUCUGAUUGGCUCGUCUGGUGCUAUCCUCUCCUACAUCAUGUGUGUGGCAAUGAACCGUUCCCUGCCCAACGUGAUCCUGGGAGGGUUCGGUACCAGCUCCACGGCGGGGGGGAAACCCAUGGAGAUCACAGGCACCCACACAGAGGUCAAUGUGGACCAGUCCAUCGAACUCAUCAAAGAGGCCAACAGCAUCAUAAUCACCCCAGGUUGGGGUCUGUGUGCGGCUAAGGCCCAGUACCCCAUUGCUGACAUGGUGAAGAUGCUGGUAGAGCAGGGCAAGUCUGUCAGGUUUGGUAUCCACCCUGUGGCAGGUCGUAUGCCAGGCCAGCUAAACGUGCUCCUGGCUGAGGCAGGUGUUCCAUACGACGUGGUUCUGGAGAUGGAUGAGAUCAAUGAGGACUUCAAAGAGACUGACCUGACGCUGGUGGUGGGUGCUAACGACACAGUGAACUCAGCAGCCCAGGAGGACCCCAACUCUAUCAUUGCUGGCAUGCCAGUCCUGGAGGUCUGGAAGUCCAAACAGGUGAUUGUGAUGAAGAGGACCAUGGGUGUGGGCUAUGCUGCAGUAGACAAUCCCAUCUUCUACAAGCCCAACACAUCCAUGCUGCUGGGAGACGCCAAGAAGACCUGUGACACACUACAGGCCAAGAUCAGAGAGGCCUACUACUAGAACAGAGAUGGACAGUACACACACACUCCCUAUCGGCUUUACGGAACUAUUUAUUUGUCUUCAAUCCAGAUGCAGGUGUAUGGUUAAGAUUAGUAAACAACGUUGAAUAUUUUUACACUUAGUGGCUUGAUGAUUAUAGAGGUCCUCAGUACAUAUGAUUAUUGGAUGUUGGGCAGUGAUGUUGAACCAAAGGUGUGGACACGAUGAUUAGAUUACAUUUAAAUUAACCCAUGCACUGCCUGCCCUGAUUUGUAAAUAAAAAUCUGUUUUGAAUGUGA